rnacentral:rRNA from 1 species
AUUGAACGCUGGCGGUAUGCCUUACACAUGCAAGUCGAACGGUAGAGGGGCAACCCUUGAGAGUGGCGAACGGGUGAGUAAUACAUCGGAACGUGCCCAGUCGUGGGGGAUAACGUAGCGAAAGCUACGCUAAUACCGCAUACGACCUGAGGGUGAAAGCGGGGGAUCGCAAGACCUCGCGCGAUUGGAGCGGCCGAUGGCAGAUUAGGUAGUUGGUGGGGUAAAGGCCUACCAAGCCUGCGAUCUGUAGCUGGUCUGAGAGGACGACCAGCCACACUGGGACUGAGACACGGCCCAGACUCCUACGGGAGGCAGCAGUGGGAAUUUUGGACAAUGGGCGCAAGCCUGAUCCAGCCAUACCGCGUGCGGGAAGAAGGCCUUCGGGUUGUAAACCGCUUUUGUCAGGGAAGAAAUCUUCUGGGCUAAUACCUCGGGAGGAUGACGGUACCUGAAGAAUAAGCACCGGCUAACUACGUGCCAGCAGCCGCCGUAAAAC